rnacentral:rRNA from 1 species
GAUGAACGCUGGCGGCGUGCCUAAUACAUGCAAGUCGAGCGAACGGACGAGAAGCUUGCUUCUCUGAUGUUAGCGGCGGACGGGUGAGUAACACGUGGAUAACCUACCUAUAAGACUGGGAUAACUUCGGGAAACCGGAGCUAAUACCGGAUGAUAUUUUGAACCGCAUGGUUCAAAAGUGAAAGACGGUCUUGCUGUCACUUAUAGAUGGAUCCGCGCUGCAUUAGCUAGUUGGUAAGGUAACGGCUUACCAAGGCAACGAUGCAUAGCCGACCUGAGAGGGUGAUCGGCCACACUAGACCGGAGCCACGGUCCAGACUCCUGCGGGAGGCAGCAGUAGGGAAUCUUCCACAAUGGGCGAAAGCCUGACGGAGCAACGCCGCGUGAGUGAUGAAGGUCUUCGGAUCGUAAAACUCUGUUAUUAGGGAAGAACAUAUGUGUAAGUAACUGUGCACAUCUUGACGGUACCUAAUCAGAAAGCCACGGCUAACUACGUG